rnacentral:tRNA from 1 species
GCAUUGGUGGUUUAGUGGUAGAAUUCUUGCCUUCCAUAAGGGAAAUCCAGGCUCAAUUCCCCGCCAAUGCA